GAAAAGGAUUUUGCACAUCACAUAGAAUAUUUUGCAUAUUCUAGUGUGCCUGUGAGCUGCUGUGAGGGAGAAAAAGAGAACUCAAAGAGUUUUUCUGUCAGAGACUGUAAAUGUGAAGUAAAAAGUGCAAUCAACUAGCCCUGUCCUGAAUAAUUUCCUUGUUUCUGGUUCAUCUAUGGCUUUUCUGUAGAGGUACAUCCAUUUCCAAACCAUGCUCUAUUCAAAAUGCAACUGAGAAAGACAAAAUAGAGCUACCAAUCAAAAGAUGCAUGGACAAAGCAGAACUACCAAUCAAACAAUGUAAGACCAAGGUGGCCCAGAGCUGAAUGUCCUCAAUUCGUUCAGUUUUUCUCCCUAAACAAGUGAAUUCCAACGUGAGGGCAGAAAGCAAACCGACAAGGUCCCACGGCACUGCAUCCUCCAGACACCCCAACUUUAUCGUUCUCAAGCGGAUGAGUCCUGCAGACACGGAACAGGCUGGCACUGGCUGGGCUCAGCCAAGGCACACACAGCA